GGGAGACUUGAGUGCAGAAGAGGACAGUGGAACUNCAUGUGUAGCGGUGAAAUGCGUAGAUAUAUGGAAGAACACCAGUGGCGAAGGCGGCUGUCUGGUCUGCAACUGACGCUGAGGCUCGAAAGCAUGGGUAGCGAACAGGAUUAGAUACCCUGGUAGUCCAUGCCGUAAACGAUGAGUGCUAAGUGUUGGAGGGUUUCCGCCCUUCAGUGCUGCAGCUAACGCAUUAAGCACUCCGCCUGGGGAGUACGACCGCAAGGUUGAAACUCAAAGGAAUUGACGGGGGCCCGCACAAGCGGUGGAGCAUGUGGUUUAAUUCGAUGCUACGCGAAGAACCUUACCAGGUCUUGACAUCUUCUGCUAACCUAAGAGAUUAGGCGUUCCCUUCGGGGACGGAAUGACAGGUGGUGCAUGGUUGUCGUCAGCUCGUGUCGUGAGAUGUUGGGUUAAGUCCCGCAACGAGCGCAACCCUUAUUGUCAGUUGCCAGCAUUUAGUUGGGCACUCUGGCGAGACUGCCGGUGACAAACCGGAGGAAGGUGGGGAUGACGUCAAAUCAUCAUGCCCCUUAUGACCUGGGCUACACACGUGCUACAAUGGACGGUACAACGAGUCGCGAAACCGNGAGGUCAAGCUAAUCUCUUAAAGCCGUUCUCAGUUCGGAUUGUAGGNUGCAACUCGCCUACAUGAAGUUGGAAUCUGCUAGUAAUCGUGGAU
rnacentral:rRNA from 2 species